rnacentral:snRNA from 1 species
GUGCUCGCUUCAGCAGUACGUAUACAAAAAUUGGAAUGAUACAGAGAAGUUUAGCAUGGCCCCUGUGCAAGGAUGACACGCAAAUUCGUGAAGCAUUCCAUAAUAAA